rnacentral:rRNA from 1 species
GAUGAACGCUGGCGGCGUGCUUAACACAUGCAAGUCGAACGGUGAACGAGGGAGCUUGCUCCCUCCGGAUCAGUGGCGAACGGGUGAGUAACACGUGAGCAAUCUGCCCUGGACUCUGGGAUAAGCGUUGGAAACGACGUCUAAUACCGGAUACGAGGCGUGGGGGCCUCCCCAACGCCUGGAAAGAACUUCGGUCCAGGAUGAGCUCGCGGCCUAUCAGCUAGUUGGUGAGGUAACGGCUCACCAAGGCGACGACGGGUAGCCGGCCUGAGAGGGUGACCGGCCACACUGGGACUGAGACACGGCCCAGACUCCUACGGGAGGCAGCAGUGGGGAAUAUUGCUCAAUGGGCGCAAGCCUGAUGCAGCAACGCCGCGUGAGGGACGACGGCCUUCGGGUUGUAAACCUCCUUUAGCAGGGAAGAAGCGAAAGUGACGGUACCUGCAGAAAAAGCACCGGCUAACUACGUGCCAGCCGCCGCGGUAAAAC